rnacentral:rRNA from 1 species
CACAUGCAAGUCGAACGGAAGUAGCAAUACUUAGUGGCGAACGGGUGAGUAACACGUGAGCAACCUGCCUUAUACUCAGGGAUAACAGUUUGGAAACGACUGCUAAUACCGGAUAAGACCACACUAUGGCAAUCAUAGAGGGGUCAAAGUGAUUUAGCGGUAUGAGAUGGGCUCGCGUCCAAUUAGCUAGUUGGUGGGGUAACGGCCCACCAAGGCGACGAUUGGUAGCCGACUUGAGAGAGUGAUCGGCCACACUGGAACUGAGACACGGUCCAGACUCCUACGGGAGGCAGCAGUGGGGAAUAUUGGGCAAUGGAGGAAACUCUUUAACCCCCAGCAAUGCCGCGUGAGUGAUGAAGGUCUUUGGAUUGUAAAGCUCUUUGAUUGGGGAAGAAUAAAUGACGGUACCCAAAGAACAAGCCCCGGCUAACUAUGUGCCAGCAGCCGC